UGCCCCCUCCCUACCCCCCGCCCCGGCCUUCUUUCUGACGCAGCGCGGAGAGAGGUCGGACCUCGCUCGGGAUGGACCCUUCCUGGACAAGCAGAAAACCUUCCUUGCCUAAAAGGCCUACUAAAGACACUUUCCAUUCCGCUAAAGGCGGCUGCCAUUUCCGCUCGCAGUUAUUCUCUUGGGGUCGAACUAGUCUAGAGCGCUAAGGUGCAACUUUGGCUCGGCUCAUUUUGCGAGUCUAGGACUAUAUGAAUUGCUGAAACACAAAGAGCUGUACCGAGACAACAACACGAAAUGCCACGGCUUUCAGCUGCAGAUGAGUGGCAACUCUCCGGCCAGAGCGGAAUAGCAUGCGGAGACUUGGACAUGCAAAGACCAGGCAGCAGGCACGGAAUGGACGUUGGCGAAUAGAGCUAAACAGACAUCUGAAGAGAGCCGCUACGGUUUAGAGAAUGGCCCGACCAGAGAAUCUGUCCAACAGGACCAUGGGAGAAAUAUCAUUUAGCUAGCUGCCAGGAGUAAAACCUCAUUAAAGAGGUCGAAUCUCACUCGAAGAUUCCAACUCUUCUUACUUUUAACUGCAUUAGCUAACUUCUGGUCGCUUCCUGGGCUUCCCCUGAAGAGGGAAGAGGUCCUCCGAUGUGGAGUAAAAUACGUUAUUCUCCUGCUGGGCGAGGGUGACCACAGUUCCCUGACAGUGUUGUUAUCAGCAAGAAGGCCUUCACCAGAUGCCAGGCCUUCAUCCUUGGACUUCUCAGCUUUUAGAACUGUGAGCUAAACAAACAUUUAUUCUUUAUAAAUUACUGAGUCAGUGAUAUUAAAUUAUAGCAACAGAAAAUGGGCUAAGACAUCAUUGUAUCUCCAACUUUCCUUGGAAUCCUCACUUGAUAGUGUGAAAGAAGAUAAUCUUGAAGCCUCUUGAGGCCUUUAAAGCCACUACUCAAUGACCCUGGGAAACUGAACUUACUGUUGACUGCCUGUUCAUCUACUUCUGGAUCUAUGACUUGGCUAAAUGAAACUUCAGCUGUUUAUCUGAGAUAUAAAAGUAUUUACUGUGUGUAAUUCUUUGCUUAAUUCCACUUUUUUUGACUCAUCCCUAGAACCUCAGACAGCAUUCUUUUCCCCAGAGCACAAUUCAUACCUAGAGCUACUUUAAAUGUAGUCUUUAACCCAGCUGAGUAAAACAUGAUGUGUGCCUGGGAUUUAGCUCAGUGGUUUUGCUGCCUGCUGCGCAAGUGCCAGGACUUGAGUUCGAUCUCCGGUACCAAAAAAAGAAAAAGCAAAAAAGCUAAACAAAAAAAACAUGAUCUGAUUAUCUAAAUGACGUGAUUUUAUUUUAUAAACUGAUAGCAAAGUUGUCACUCUGGGACUGGGGCUGCAUUCUACACAGCACAACUUUAGUAGUACUGAAUUUCUUUCCAUCUACUAAAAGAAAUUUUUGUAUAAACACAGCUUUUAAUUCUUGCCUCUAAGAAAUUUUUUCCUUCUUGGCAUGUUACCCAGACCAUUUCUUCAGUUCUGUUCAGAAACGUUUUUUUCCUCUAACAUAGCAAAUCACAGAGCAUUCAUUUGUCAGUCUUUCCUUACCUUUCCUUUGUAAUGGAGAGUAGAUUCUUUUCUUCAAAAUAUAAAAUGAUAAUAAUCUCAGGCAAAAGCACAAUUACAGCACACGUGAGGCCCUGGAAUAGUGUUGCUGGAGUGCUUGCUUCCUGAGCUCACAGUGAACUACUGACAGACUUUUGUGGUUCUGCCAAUAAACUGCCUGCUAACUGUGUAUCUUGUCUUAGUCACUAAGAACUUCUGUCAAUAUUACUUUUAAGUCUGUCUGGCUUUUGUCUUCUUCUCAAGCUACUAAUCUGCACUAAUCUGAUACAUGUUAAUAAUUUUUACUUUAUAAACAUCCAUUUCUGUUUAUUUUGUGAAUGUUAGACAUCUUACUGAAAAUGGUUCCCAGAUAUGUUAUUCUAAGAAUUUUUAGUCAGUUAUCAUCAUCCUAGGAUUCCCUUUAUUUCUUUUAUAUCAAGCCCCUUGUUUGCUUGAUCCUACUCUGCCUUGUUCUUUCAUUAAUGCCUUCCCCAUCCCAGUCCUGGGUAUUGAACCCCAGCAACUUGCAUUGACCUGCAUCCCUAGCCCUUUCAAUUUUUUUUUUUAAAUUUUGAGACACAGUUUCACUAGUUUUCCCAAGCUGGCAUUGUACUUGUGAUCUUUCUGCCUCAGCUUCCUGAGUCACUGGGAGUACAGACAUAUGUUACUGCUCCUGGGUAUUCCCUCUUCUGAUAAUAUACUCUCCAUUAUUUCUCUGAGAAAAAUUGUGUGGGAAUGUAUUAUUGUUAAAGCAGAAAAACAGAGCCAUAGCAAUUAUUCUAUCGGAUUUAUUUUAAGAACUGGUUUAUUUGAUUUGGGGAGCUCACUAGGCAAGUCUAAAAUCUGUAGGGAAGGCCAGAUCUCUCAGACAUAGGUUGAUGAUGCAGUUCACUGGUAGUGCUUCUUCCAGGAAACCUCAGUCCUGGUCUAAAGCCUUCCAACUGUUUGGAUUAGGGGCACUCAGAUUAUCUAGGAUUAUAUCUGUUUCUUAAAACCAAUUAAUUAUAGAUGUCUAUUCUCUCUAUUCUUUGUAUUUUUUUUUCAUAACAUUCUGGAGAUUGUAUAAAGUUCAAGAGAAAGCUUGGAGAGCUAUUCUUAAUCAUUGCUGGAAUUCACCUUGGGUGAACUAGAUGUAAUCUAUUU